UUGUAACAACAGAAUCCAGUGGGAUUCAGAGCGCUGCUGGGGAACACUUUGGAAACUUACACUCUAAAAAGCCGAAAGGCCUAAAAGCAGUGAAUGAAUUCUACCAAAGUGAAGAGAGAAACAGGCCCAUUACCAGUACAAGGUUGAAAUAAGGUCUCUCACACGGAAAAGCCCAGGACUACACGGAUUCACUACCAAGUUCUAUCAGACUCUUAAGGUCUAAUAGCAGCACUCCUUGAUUGGUCAAAAGUCAUCAAACUGAGCAGUUAUACCCAGCAUACUAUGGAAUGCUCAUUCCGUUAAAUAAGAGGAGAACACACAGCAAUCAAGAGCGUUAAAGAAAAAUCCAACGUGGCCAAGCGGGGAUUGGAACCCAGGUCUCUUGUGUAGAAUCUGGGGCUCAAGGGCACUCUGCCUGCUUGCCUCACAGAGUCCCUCUGUCAUCAGCCGCCACACUGACUACCUCUGCCUGCCAGCCCUGGGUCCUUUCCAAGAAAAGACAAAGCUGCAAACAAGCAGUAAUGACAUUGAUUAUUCCAAGCCAGAGGCAGGGGAUUUUGGAUCAUUUCCUUAAAAUGCUUGCUCAGCAACACUGAGGUCCUCACCCCAACCACCCUUAGUCCCAGGAAAUAAAUGUACAGUACGCCAUUGACGUGAAGCAGGGAAAAUUCCCUGUGGAGUUCUGCAGUCUCCUUCUCCUAGUUUGUCAAAUGCCAGCAGCAGCCAAGCCGACUGCCCUGUUUGCCUGUCUGUAUCUUAUUUCUGUAAUGUCUUGCAGAUUGCAGAAGCCCCCCACCCCAAUCCCCAAAGCUAGGCAAACCACAUCGUCUCCAAGCUUCCUAGAGCAGCACUCAGGUUCCCUGCUGUCCUUGGGCUUUGUAUAAUAUUGCCUCUGGGUGUCAUAUACUGUGAUUCUCUGCCAUCAGCCAUAUUUUGCUCUUUUUUUUCCCAAGGAAGAACAUACAAUUCAUUUUUAAUAUCCCUACAAUAUAUGUGACCAAAAUGUAAUUUAAAAGACGGACAAGUGGAAGACUUUCCUGUAUGUCAUGCGAAGCAUGAGAAGCGUUGUGUUCAAAAGCUAGUUUCCAGUUAUUAUAGCCACAGCCUUUCCCGCUUCACCCCUUUGUUACUAAGGAGGUUGAUGUGAAAGGAGAUGUGUCUCUUUCCUUAAAGACCUAUCUCUCUCUCAAGGCUGAGUUCUCCAUACCUGGAUUCACACAUCCCCCCACACCAUGGCAAUUACCCCCCUGGUAACCACUCAUGACAUCGCAGACACAAUGUACUAGCAGAAGAAAUGAGAGCUCCUGAAAUGCAGAGAAGUCAGCUCCCUCUGUGGCCUAAGGACUCUGAAGGAAUAGGAAAUGGAGGGUUUGUUUAUUUAUUUAUUUUUAUUUAGCAGAAAAGUAACUCUUGAAAACUAUCCUUGGAUUUUGACUGCUUAUUGAAUUUCAAAGCUUCUUGUUACCUUAGAUCCUGAAACUGUGUUCUGAGGCCCACAAAAAUUUUUAGAUAACCCUACAGCAAGCUGUGUGUUUGUUUAACUAUAUCUCAUGCUUGUAAUAUUUGGCAGAUUGCAGAAGCCCCACCCCCACCCCAUCUGGGCAAAAACACAUCACCUGUGAGAUUCCUAGGGCAGCACUCAACUAUUUCCCUGUUGUCCUUGAGCUUCAUACAAUAUUGCCUUUGAAUACCACAGGUAUAUGGUGGUAUAACAUACUCCGUGUGUGUGUGUGUGUGUGUGUGUGUGUGUCACACAGCCCUACAGCAACCUGCAGGGGAAAGAUACAAUGAAACCAACAGAUCUCAAAUCUUCAGCAAUCCUCCCCCAAAAGACCUCUCAGGUAUCUCAAACGAGGGGCUUUUAAAAUGCUGCCAUGGAUGUACAGAAAAGCAAUGUGUUCCUGGAAAGUCUUUCUCCUACCUUUUCUUACCCAUAAUAUAUGAAUUACCCAAAGUCUCAAGCCAAGGUUAACAGCUCUAAGGAAAUUUGUGGAUGGCAACCAAAAGAAGAGUGGGUGCACCACAUUCACGUGACACGUUCACCACACGAGCUUUGCCUAAACCGGUGGGACCACUGGAUUGUAAGCUGGUUUGCGAGAGGAGAAUCAGCGACCACUUUGUGGCUGGCAUUUUCCACUGCAAAUGGCCCCAGCUUUGGAUGCCUAAAUUUUAGUUUUAAAUACUAUUUAGAUCCAUCAGGGCUCUUGGAGAUGGAUUUCAAGUUGCAGAUAUGAAAGUGCACACACACACACACACACACACACACACACACACACACACACACACACACACUGGCCUGCUCCUUUCACAAGAAGCUGUUGUAAAUGCAGGCUGCCUUACUCUCUGCGGUUGGAGGUGUGGAAAGAAACAAGAAACAGAAAAGAACAAUUUGAAGAGAACCUGAAUUUACAAUCUGGGAGCCAGGGAGUAAACAUUGCACUGUAAGCUGGUAAGCUCCUUGCUUUAAUUACUGGCCUGAAAAAAUUUCAAUUUGAUGUGCUUUAAUUAGUCACGGAAGGGCUCACCAAUUAUUUUCUAAAUAGAGAGAUUGAAAAGCAAACAGAAGUGGGAGUGAAAGGCCUUCAAGGAUUAAUCCUCGAAUUCUUCUCAUUUCCCCCCCCAAAUUCGGGGCUAACAUUUUGUGGUGGGAAACCUGAUCUUGCACCGGUAAACCGACCUCUGUGGUACUCUCUGCCCACUGUUCUAGGUGACAGGAUUUAGUAGGCCAAGGGCCCCAGCAAGAGGGCUACGGAAAUGUCCACUCUGACAAAAUAACACAACUAAGCUUCCUCUUAAAAUGCAGGAAAUCGAACCAGGAGAGUUCUGUUUGUCACUUGGGUGGACUAAGCAAACGAGAGUCCCUGGUAGCCUUUACUCAUCAGCUUCUGCCUGACCUAUUUUACUUUCGUUUUAAAAGUACUUUUUUAAAAUAGUUUUUGCCUGUCCGUCUAGGAUCAUCAGUUUGUGCCAACAGAAGAAGGUAAGAAAAUUAAUUUUAAUUAACUUUCCUUUCGGAAAUGUGUCCCACAGAUUUCUUAAAAAGUCAAAACAGCAAGAUGUUGCCAGAGCUAAAUUUAAGUAACCCUAGGAAGGCCAUAAGCUGAGAAAGGUGUUAGCCAAGGACUCACUAAGCACUCUGGGGAUAAAGGUGCAUCAUUUUCAUGGAAACUUGAGCUCCUUACUUCAAGCCCACCAGCCAGCCAACAACUGCUGGACUGAGUCUGAAGCAGCUUCUGCCACAGAAGGGACUCUGCUCAGGUGAUUAAGACUUCCAAGAGCAUGGAACCCCUUAAAAGAGAUGGGGCCAUAACACCAUGUAGCCUCAGUUACAGCUGGUCCUGGCAUUGAAGGCUCUAAGGACUAAUGUGGGCUUAGCAGGGCAUCAUUAUCUGUGAGGCCUGGGCAAACAUCUGUGCACAGACAUGUGGCAUGGCCUUUUCAGCAAUGGGCCAGUGAUCUGAGAGAACAGCUUAAAGGAAGAAAGGUCUAUUUGGGUUCACAGUUUCAACAGGUUUCAUUUCCGGUCCACUAGCUUGGUUGCUGUGAGUCUAAGGCAAAGCAUCCUGACAGGAAGGGUGUGGUGGAGCACACUCACUGCGUGGCAUGAGCAGGAGAAGCAGAGAGUCCUUAUACUUGAGGGCUUCAUCCUUUUGCUUUUAUUGUUUUGUUCCAUUCAUGCCCACAGCCUAUUUAAUGAUGUUAUCAUUCUCUCUCUCUCUCUCUCUCUCUCUCUCUCUCUCUCUCUCUCUCUCACACACACACACACACACACACACACACACAUAUACACACACACCUUACUCUCUCUCUCACACACACACCUCUCUCUCUCACACACACACACACACAUACACACAUACACACCUUACUCUCACACACACACACACACACACCUCUCUCUCUCUCUCACACACACACACACAUCCACACAUACACACCUUACUCUCACACACACACACCUCUCUCUCUCACACACACACACACAUCCACACAUACACACCUUACUCUCUCUCUCUCUCACACACACACACCUCUCUCUCUCUCUCUCACACACACACACACACACACACCUUACUCUCUCACACACACCUUUCUCUUUAUCUCUCUCUCACACACACAUCUCUCUCUCUCACACACACACACACACCUUACUCUCACACACACACACACACACCUUACUCUCCCACACACACACCUUUCUCUCUCUCUCUCUCUUUCUCUCUCUCUCUCUCACACACACACACACACACAUAUACACACACACACACCUUACAUGUUCGGUGUGGCUGCGUGCAGAAGAUGUGUCUUACAAGUCAAAGCAAAACCCAAGACAGUAGGUCAACCGUGGUCCUAGGAUCUUGCUGGGAAUCUGAGCAGAAAACACGAGGAAUGGAAAGUGCCUAGAGUGACAGCUCCAAGGGAAACCUCCAAAGCUGAGUGCACUGAUAAACACCUACAGUCCCAGCGAUCUAUAGCCAGAGGCAGGAGGAUCACAAGUGUGAAGACAGCCCUGGUCUACACAGUGAGUUCCAGGCAAGCCAAGGUUAUAUGAUGGAGACUGAGAACUAGCAAAUUUCGGACCUGUCCAGAGUCAGCCUGUGAAUUUAAAUCAGAGCUGGGGACAAAAGAAAAACCUCACUGUUUCGAAGCUGUGGACACUGGGACAUCACAAGCUCAGGCUUCCCGCUUAAGGAUGGAACUCUGCAUAGAGCGAUGUCAACUUCUUGAUCAACGGAGAAUCCCAUGUUGAAUCUCUCUCGAAGAUAAUUUACUCCAAGUAAAAGAUUUUCCUGUUAAGUAUUACUUAUGAUUGAACAAUAGGUAUCAUUAGGUAAGAAUUUUGAGGAUGAGUAAGUUCCUUGCAAAAAUGAAUACAAAACUUGCCUCUGAUCAGCCUGAUUAGAACACUGACAGGAGGAGGAGGAGGAAUCUGUGAUGAUGUUUUGAUAAACGCCCUCACUCAGGUGCCCUAACAUUUACAUGUUAAGUUUCAACUAUGGAUUCUGCACACAUUUACAAUACUUCCUCUCAACCAAUGUAAGAGACAGCCUGAGGCUGGCUAGAUGGGUGGAGGGGAAACGGGCCUGCCUUUGAGCAUGUGACCAUGUGAGUUCUCUUCCUGGGGUUCACACGGUGGAAAGAGAGAACUGGCUCUCUCAAGGUAUCCUCUGACACCUACAUAUGCACAUUGACACAUGCAGAUUUGUGUGCACAAACACAAAUCAAAAAAUGAAUACGUAGCAAUGUUUUAUUUAGAAAGACACACUGUCUGGGCCCAGCAGCCUCCCCCUAGCUAAUAUGGAAUCUAUCUAUAAAUCCUCCUGUAGUUGAGCUGUCUAAAUUACAGGUGACAUAAUUUAGGACAUGACCUAAGUCAAGAACCCACACUGAAUAAUACCCUCAGAGACCGAUGUCUAUCCAUUAACAGAAGCCUUCAAAAGCAUCUAAUCUUUCUUUCUCAGACCCUGGUUGUGCGUUGGGAGAAACAAAAAAUGAAUGAUCCCCUUUAAGAACCAUAUUGUUGGGGCUGGAGAGAUGGCUCAGCAGUUAAGAGCACUGACUGCUCUUCCUGAGGUCCUGAGUUCAAAUCCCAGCAACCACAUGGUGGCUCACAAUCAUCUGUAAUGAGAUCUAAUGCUCUCUUCUGGUGUGUCUGAAGACCACUACAGUGUAUUCAUAUAUAAUAAAUAAAAAUUUAAAAAACA